rnacentral:sRNA from 1 species
GCUGGGCAUGGUAGUGUAUGCCUGUAAUCCCAGUGGCUUGGGAGGCUGAGGCAAGAGGAUUGUGAGUUCAAAACCAGUCUCAGCAACUUAGCAAGGCUGUAAGCAGCUCAUCAAAACCAUGCCUCUA